GGGAGGGAGAAUUAGACAGAGAGGGAGAAUUAGACACAGGGAGGGAGAAUUAGACAGAGAGGGAGAAUUAGACAGGGAGAGAGAAUUAGACAGGGAGGGAGAAUUAGACACAGGGAGAAUUAGACAGGGAGGGAGAAUUAGACAGGGAGGGAGAAUUAGACAGGGAGGGAGAAUUAGACAGGGAGGGAGAAUUAGACAGGGAGAGAGAAUUAGACACAGGGAGAAUAAGACAGGGGAAGGGACAUACAAUGACAGAUGCAUCACAACAACAACAUUCAACAGUGGGUGGGACUGACUUUUCAGAAGUGUAAUGUGGAUCUUCUAAAAGAGGUGCUUUUAUUGUUGUUGUGACAUUAUAUUAGUUAAUGUGAUAACUGUUGCUCAUCGAAUGAUUAACGGUUUAUAAUUGCAUGAUUCAUAUGACACCAAUCCCGUUUGCGGGAUUGAUUUUGACAAUAGCCAGUGAAAAAUCAGAGCGCCAAAUUCAAAACCACUAAUCUAAUAAUUUCAAUUUCUCAAACAUACGACUAUUUUACACCAUUUUAAAGAUACACUUCUCCUGAAUCGAACCACGUUGUCCGAUUUCAAAAAGGCUUUACAGUGAAAGCAAAACAUUAGAUUAUGUUAGGAGAGUACAUAUACAAAAAUAACCACACAGCCAUUUUCCAAGCAAGGACAUGUGUCACAAAAACCAGAAAACCAGCUAAAAUUAUGCACUAACCUUUGACGAUCUUCAUCAGAUGAUACUCCUAGGACAUCAUGUUACACUAUACAUGCAUUUUUUGUUCGAUCAAGUUGAUAUUUAUAUCCAAAAAUAGCAUUUUACAUUGGCGCGUGAUGUUCAGAAAAUAUUUUCCCUCCAAUACUACCGGUGAAUCAGCACAACAAUUUACAGAAAUACUCAUCAUAAACGUUGAUAAAAUAUUAAACUGUUAUUCAAAGAAUUAUAGAUGAACAUCUCCUUUAUGCAACCCCUGAGACAGAUUUCAAAAAAGCUUCACGGGGAAAGCACACUUUGCAAUAAUCUGAGUACAGCGCUCAGAAAAAAACAUCAAGCAAUACAGAUACCCGCCAUUUUGGAGUCAUAUAAAAUCAUAAAUAGCAUUAGAAAUAUUCACUUCCCUUUGAUGAUCUUCAUCAGAAGGCUCCUUUUUGUUAGCAUGUUCAGUAAGCUACUCCAAAUGUAGGAAGCGCGCGGAAAACUUCACGACGAAAAGUUAAAAAAAGUUAUAUUUACGUUCGUUGAAACAUGUCAAACGUUGUAAAGCAUCAAUCUUUAGGGCCAUUUUAACGUAAAACUUCAAUAAUAUUCCAACCGGACAAUUCCAAUGUCUUGAAAAACGUUUUGGAACUCAGCUACCUCCUCACGUGAACUCAUGUCAUUUUCUGGGUCACCAACUUCCCCACCUUCUUGUUCGCUCUCUGUUCACUACAAAAGGCUGAAACAAGGUUCUAAAGAUUGUUGACAUCUAGUGCAAGCCUUAGGAAGUGCUAAAUGAAACCUAAGUCACUGUGUGUUAGAUAGGCAAAGACUUGGAAAGAUUCCACACAUCAGAUUUCCACUUCCUGGUUGGAUUUUUCUCAGGAUUUGCCUGCCAUUUGAGUUAUGUUAUACUCACAGACAUCAUUCAAACAGUUUUAGAAACUUCAGAGUGUUUUCUAUCCAAAUCUACUAAUAAUAUGCAUAUCCUAGCUUUUGAGUAGGAGGCAGUUUAAUAUGGGCACGUAUUUCAUCCGAAAGUGAAAAUACUGCCACCUACACGUAAGAAGUUUUAAGAGGUUAAAUGAAUCAAGCAAUUAUUAACUCAUUAACCUGGGGCACCAUGGGAAAAUUCAUUUUAUUGAGUUUCUAUUUCCCAAAUUAACUCAAAGAAUAUGAGAAUAUCGAUUUUACAACCGUCGCCAAUUAAUCAAUUUCCUCGACAGUCUCAUUCUGAACGUCGCAUAAUCCUGCACGGACCCGGGUCCCACCAAUGAGUUCGUACCACACCAAUCUUAGUUGAUUAUUUAUUUACUAGCAAGCUAAAAUGAUGAUAAAAGAUACACAUACACAAAACACAGUCUAGGCUAUUGUUACCCAAAAUGGGGAUUUAAACGAGUGAGAAAAAAGGAAAGUACACGAGAGAAAUAUACAUUUGAGUGCAUUUGUCAGCUAUGCUUAUUUUAACUUCUCUAGGGCCAGUGGGACGAUUUGUCCCACCUACGUAACAGCCAGUGGAAUCCCGUGGCGCGUUAUUCAAAUACCUUAGAAAUGCUAUUACUUCAAUUUCUCAAACAUAUGACUAUUUUACACCAUUUUAAAGACAAGACUCUCGUUAAUCUAACCACACUGUCCGAUUUCAAAAAGGCUUUACAACGAAAGCAAAACAUUAGAUUAUGUCAGCAGAGUACCCAGCCAGAAAUAAUCAGACACCCAUUUUUCAAGCUAGCAUAUAAUGUCACAUAAACCCAAACCACAGCUAAAUGCAGCACUAACCUUUGAUGAUCUUCAUCAGAUGACAAUCUUAGGACAUUAUGUUAUACAAUACAUGCAUGUUUUGUUCAAUCAAGUUCAUAUUUAUAUCAAAACCCAGCUUUUUACAUUAGCAUGUGACGUUCAGAACUAGCAUACCCCCCGUAAACUUCUGGUGAAUUUACUAAAUUACUCACGAUAAACGUUCACAAAAAACAUAACAAUUAUUUUAAGAAUUAUAGAUACAGAACUCCUCUAUGCACUCGCUAUGUCCGAUUUUAAAAUAGCUUUUCGGUGAAAGCACAUUUUGCAAUAUUCUGAGUAGAUAGCCCGGCAUCACAGGGCUAGCUAUUUAGACACCCACCAAGUUUAGCCCUCACCAAAGUCAGAUUUACUAUAAGAAAAUGUUAUUACCUUUGCUGUUCUUCGUCAGAAUGCACUCCCAGGACUUCUACUUCAAUAACAAAUGUUGGUUUGGUUCAAAAUAAUCCAUAGUUAUGUUCAAAUAUCCUCUGUUUUGUUCGUGCGUUCAAGACACUAUCCGAAGUGUAAAGAAGGGUGACGCGCACGACGCAUUUCGUGACAAAAAAAUUCUAAAUAUUCCAUUACCGUACUUCGAAGCAUGUCAACCGCUGUUUAAAAUAAAUUUUUAUGCCAUUUUUCUCGUAAAAAAGCGACCGGGAAAGUGUGUUUACGUUCAAAGAGAGAGAAAAUAAAAACAUGGGAUCCCCUCGUGCAAGAGCCUCAGUCUGAUGGUCCUCUGAUCGGCCACUUACCAAAGGCGAUAAUGUUUUUCAGUCAGGGGCUGGAAUUACAUCAUUCAGCUUUUUCCCGGGUUCUGAGAGCCUAUGGGAGCCGUAGGAGGUGUCACGUUACAGCAAAGAUCCUCAGUUUUCAAUAAACAGAGCCAAGAAGCUCAAGGAAUGGUCAGAGAGGGCACUUCCUGUACAGACUCUUCUCAGGUUUUUGCCUGCCAUAUGAGUUCUGUUAUACUCACAGACACCAUUCAAACAGUUUUAGAAACUUUAGGGUGUUUUCUAUCCAAAGCCAAUAAUUAUAUGCAUAUUCUAGUUUCUGGGCAGUAGUAAUAACCAGAUUAAAUCGGGUACGUUUUUUAUCCGGCCGUGUAAAUACUGCCCCCUAGCCCUAACAGGUUAACCCUAGCCUUGCCCCGAACUGCCACUCUUAUGGGUCAGAAUAUAAUGAUGUAAUUACGUGUUGGAGGUCUCAGAUGGGAAGCUCCGCAUGGGUCGUUUAGGCUUCUCAGUGACGCACUUCUCCGACGCAACUCUCUGGUUGUCCUCACGAUGUCAGUGUCCUUUGGGCUUAGUGGUCUGAUUCCUCACCCUUUCUCUGAAAGGGGCCUUCUGAGGAUAGACAGCUCUGUAGCUCAGAGCUCACAGCGUAGGAAUUAAACAGUGUAGAUACCACAAUUCAGUGGAGAGUGGAGGCUAGGUGGUUCUGCUUGAAUUCACCCGCUUAGACACAGCUACUCAUCCAUAGCUUGGGUAGAAAAAUAUUUCUUUGUCUUCAACCUUGUGUGGCGUUGUGGAGUUCGUUGACCUUUUGGCUGCAGCCUGGGGUCACUUGGUCUCCUCUGUUCAUUCUUCACUCCCCUGUCUUAUACCUUCGGGUCAGAAGUGGGCAUAACCGCCUUUAGGGCAAUUCUCUGGGCGUACCAAGUUAUUAAGAGGCAAGGCCUAGAUUUUACUCAAAUUCAAUUUUAGACAACUAACUUCACAUUUCAUCUUUACCAAAACAUUCUCUUUGAUUUGGACAUUUUCCACACAAUGUACAAUGUAUAAACAUCAGGCAUAUACUGGGAAAACUCUUAAAGGUACAAUGUUUUCAUAAUAACGUCAUCUGUUAACCUUUAAUUACAAAACAAAAAUUACAUACAUUUUCAUAUUCCAUCUAUCGUCAUGACCACCAUUGUGGCUGACGGAAACCAUUGUUCCAAAGUCCCUUUAUUGCAUGUUUAAUGUUCUGAGGCUGGUUCUCCAUAGUGAGAGGACAAAGAAAUGUUGUCUGUGGCCUAAGAUUUAUCAUGGGCGUGAGGGGUCAUAAAACCCCCACAUCUUCAGACCCCUAGAUCUCUCCUCCUCUGUUGGGGGUUUGGGAGAUAAUCUGUAGGGUUGUGGUCUCCUGUAACCUGACCUGAUCAGGACAGUCAUGACAUUGUUUAACUGAAAUGGAUGAGUUUGGUCUACAGUAUAUAUGUUGCGUUUACACUGGCAACAUAAUUCUGAUCUUUUAUUCACUAAUUGGUAUUUUGACCAAUCAGUUCUGCUCUGAAAAGAAUCUGAUGUGACCAUUUUAGUGGAAAAAAGAUCAGAAUUUGUCUGUCUAAACGCAGCAUAGUGGUUCAUUGGAUGAAAAUAAUUAAUACACACUAAAGGUCUUCAUGGGUCCAACCGAAUACCCGGCCAAGACCCGAUCCGGGACCGAGUGUCCUGUUUGAUUGGUAUCGGCUCUAUGUAAUUAACUGAUAGACCCGAAUGGACCCAACCACGGCUCUACAUAGCCUAUAGCAUAUUUAUUUUAUGCUAAUAAAGGGAAUGUAUUGACUUUUCAAAGGCCUAGCCAACAUAUAAAGACCUAUUUGCUAACUAGAAGAGCAACUUGGCUGAUAAACAUCACUUUUCUUUUGUCUUUGGGUCCAUUCGGGUCCAGGUCCCCCUUUAAAAUAAAUAUCAGGUUCAGGUAUGAUUGGUGACCUCGGGUCCAGGUCUAACUUUCAGGUCCAGGUAUGAUUGGUGACCUCGGGUCCAGGUCUAACUUUCAGGUCCAGGUAUGAUUGGUGACCUCGGGUCCAGGUCUAACUUUCAGGUCCAGGUAUGAUUGGUGACCUCGGGUCCAGGUCUAACUUUCAGGUCCAGGUAUGAUUGGUGACCUCGGGUCCAGGUCUAACUUUCAGGUCCAGGUAUGAUUGGUGACCUCAGGUCCAGGUCUAACUUUCAGGGCCAAGAAGACCUCUAAACCUCAUUGGAGACAUUAACCACGUUUCCAUCCACAGUUUUUAUGCAAGUAAAGUCAUACGGUAUAAAAAAUUAAAUAAUGACAGUUGUGAUGGAAACAGGUCGUUUCAGG
rnacentral:lncRNA from 1 species